GCUCAUACCGAGUGCAUUAUUUCCUUUGAUGCAGAUGCCCUCUCCCAAGGAAGUAACGCCUAUGUUGGAAAGCUAAGGUAAGGCAUCAUCCCUGUGGACCAACUAAAUAAAAUAAAAGAACAAAAGUAGCAAAUUUGAUACAGGUGUCAAGUCGUAUAAUUCAAUAUCUGUAACAGUUUCCAAGUUAGCAAGAUCCUUGAGUAAAGUAUGACAGGACCUUUGGAUGUGUGAUGGUACCUGGGUUCAAAUCUUCCCCAAGGUUUCCCUGCUUAUCCCAUCUACCACUGGAAGAGAAUAGUACACAAAAAACAAGAUGUUGAUUGCAAAUCGAUUUAUGUACAUAUGUUGUGUAUGCUGGAAAUUCAGGUACCAUCAUAUACUUAUGAAUGCAUACUUCUGGCUAAUUGAGAGAGAACAGGAAAAUUUUCUCAAGUCCGAGCAGGCGAGCAUAGACAUAUAAUUCUAUAUUGAAUCAAGACAUCAGGAUAUUCCUCCCUUUUUCUGUGUUCUAUAUUACUCAAUUAUGUUGAAGGAAAACUGGAAGUCAGACCAAGAGGUAUAACCUAGGAAUCAUUCGAAUCUGAAAGCAAUCUUUUGCUUUCUAAGAUCCCGAAACUCUAGGAAAAACCAGUGCUCGCUACCCAAGUCACAUCAUGCGUGAGCGAAAGUAUGAGCGUGAAAGAGUCUUUCAAAAAACAUUCCCAACUAUAACAAUUUGUGAGAGCGACACACCCAGGAGUUGUCCCAGUGGUUCGGGCGGAUGCCCAGACUUUGGGAGUACUCGUUAAGGUAUGAGAUUCGAUUCUCCACCGGGUGAAUAUCCUGAAGUAAGUGGGGGGCCGUGACUGGUGUUGCCGCGGUGACUCUCCCGGAGGUUUGGGUUGCACAGUCAGGUCCAUUUAAUGCCCUGGUUGUAGGACUGUUCCUUUGAUACCAAAAAAAAUAAAAUAAAAUUGCGUAAGGACAAGUAUAAAGCGAGGAUUGAGAGCUAGUGCGAAGGGUACUAAUGAAGGAUUAUGUCACUAAGCUCUGCAACAGCUCGUGUACAGUGGUAAACAAAAUACUACAUGUGACAAAGCUUAAUUACGUACCUCAACUUAAACAGGCAAUGUAGCAGAUAUUUCAUGACCCGUGAGUGAUAGAAACAGGGGUUUGAUCC